GCCGCCAUAGCUCAGUCGGUUAGAGCGUGAGAGCGGGGUCUAAUAAGCCCAAGGUCGCAGGUUCGACCCCUGCUGGCGGCA